rnacentral:rRNA from 1 species
UACGGGAGGCAGCAGUGGGGAAUAUUGGACAAUGGGCGGAAGCCUGAUCCAGCCAUGCCGCGUGUGUGAAGAAGGCCUUUUGGUUGUAAAGCACUUUAAGCGAGGAGGAGGCUACUAGUACUAAUACUACUGGAUAGUGGACGUUACUCGCAGAAUAAGCACCGGCUAACUCUGUGCCAGCAGCCGCGGUAAUACAGAGGGUGCGAGCGUUAAUCGGAUUUACUGGGCGUAAAGCGUGCGUAGGCGGCUGAUUAAGUCGGAUGUGAAAUCCCUGAGCUUAACUUAGGAAUUGCAUUCGAUACUGGUCAGCUAGAGUAUGGGAGAGGAUGGUAGAAUUCCAGGUGUAGCGGUGAAAUGCGUAGAGAUCUGGAGGAAUACCGGAUGGCGAAGGGCAGCCAUCUGGCCUAAUACUGACGCUGAGGUCGAAAGCAAUGGGGAGCAAACAGGGAUUAGGAAUAACC